AUGGCAGCUACGGUUACCUUUGUGACUCUCCUCCACCUGCUCCUCCCCCUGCUCCUCCCCCUGCUGCAUGUUGUCACCACCAUCACGUUGAACAUCACCAAUCAAUGUUCCUACACCGUGUGGCCGGCCGCUGUACCGGUGGGCGGCGGCAUGCCGCUGGACCCAGGGAAGACAUGGACCCUCAAGGUGCCCGAUUCUUCCACCACCAACAUUUGGGCACGAACAGGCUGCUCAUUUGAUAGCGGAGGCAACGGGUCGUGCCAGACAAGCGACUGCGACGGCAUGCUCGCUUGCAAGAGGUAUGGUCAGCCGCCCACCACGACUGCUAAUUUCGAACUCCUCCAUCUUUACGCCAACACUUUCUUCUAUAUUUCCCUCUUCUACGGCUUCAAUGUACCCAUGGAGAUCCUGCCAGUGCCAGUCGAGUGGAAAAAAAGAUCAGGGUGCAGCAAGGGGCCGCGCUGUGCUGCCAACAUCACAUCGCAGUGUCCGAUCGAGCUCAAGGUGCCCGGAGGCUGCAAGAGCUCAUGUGAAGUGUUCACGAAUCAGUCCUAUUUGUACUGCUGCUCUGGGGACGGAUGUUUACCCGAUAAAUACUCGGCCUAUUUUGUGCAGAUGUGCCCGGAGGCAAUAAGUUUCUCUGAAUAUUCUCCCUCGCAAGCUGCAUUCAGUUGUCCGAGAGAUACCAACUACAUGGUAGUCUUCUGCCCACCAAUCGAUCUACCCUCUUCGCCGGCUCCAAGUCCUGCUUCAACUGCUAUUGGGCCAUCAAGCACAGGACCCUCAUCCAGAAAAGUAGACAUAGUUGUUCCGAUUGCAAUUGUAGCUUCCAUAGUUAGUUUCAUUUUCAUUGUCGCAUUCGUCCUUUUCGUCAUACAUCAAAGAAGGACACGACGACGCCAUGAGAUGGAGGAAGAGGAGGCAGAGUUUGGUAAGCUACAAGGAACACCAAUGAGGUUCACGUUUCAACAGUUAGAAGUAGCGACCGAGCAAUUCAAAGGCAAGCUUGGGGAAGGAGGAUUUGGGUCUGUUUUCAAGGGACAGCUAGGUGAGGAAAGGGUUGCAGUAAAAUGUUUGGAUCGAGCUGGUCAGGGAAACAGAGAAUUUUUGGCAGAGGUUCAAACAAUAGGCAGCAUUCAUCAUAUCAAUCUAGUGAGGCUGUUUGCUUUCUGUGCUGAGAAAUCCCACAGGCUCUUGGUAUACGAGUAUAUGCCCAAAGGAUCCUUGGAUAGGUGGAUCUAUUGUCGACCUGACGAUGAUGCUCCUCCUCUAGAUUGGAGCACACGAUGCAAGAUAAUCACUAACAUAGCUAAGGGUCUCUCUUAUCUUCAUGAGGAAUGCGUGAAGAGAAUUGCUCAUUUGGAUGUCAAGCCACAAAACAUCCUCAUAGAUGACAACUUCAAUGCCAAAAUUUCUGAUUUUGGCCUAUGUAAGCUCAUUGAUAGGGAUAUGAGCCAAGUGGUUACUAGAAUGAGAGGGACACCUGGAUACUUAGCUCCUGAAUGGUUGACAUCACAAAUCAUAGAGAAGGCUGACGUUUAUAGCUUUGGCAUUGUGGUCAUGGAAAUCAUCAGUGGAAGAAAGAACCUCGACACUUCCUAGUCUGAAGAGAGCAUCCAUCUUAUUACUCUACUGGAAGAAAAGGUGAAGAACGGUUACUUGGUAGACUUGAUGGACAAGAGCAGUAACGACAUGCAAGCACAUGAGCAAGACAUAAUUCAGAUGAUGAAGCUCGCCAUGUGGUGUUUGCAGAUUGACUUCCAAAGAAGGCCUAAAAUGUCAGAGGUAGUCAAAGUCUUGGAAGGUAGCAUGGAUGCUGAGAGCAAUAUAGAUCAUAACUUUGUUGCAACAAAUGAAGCAAAUUUCUAUAUUGCUGGAAAUGUGAAAUCCUCUGCUCCACCUAUAGCCUCAGAUCUAUCAGGUCCCAGGUGA
rnacentral:rRNA from 1 species